UUCGGUUUAGGGUGAGGGUAUUGUUGGAAGGCGAGGGCGGCGGCGCUGGGGGAGCUAGAGAUCGAUCGAUCCCAAGAUCUAGCCUACAUUCCAGGUGUCCAGAUGGGUAAGAUUCUCUGUCACAUAGAUUUUGUUUUGGUGAAAACGGAUGCCUAGUGAGAUUUUUAGUCUUUGGUCUGUCUCUUGGCUUUUGUUCAUCAAUGGGCUGCUUAUCUGUGGCAUCUACUUGAGCCGCCGAUCAAGAUCCUCAGUAGGAAGCUCAGGCGUGGUGUUUCCUCUUUCUUUUGUUUCUCACAAAAGGAUUCUUUCUUUUCAUUUCAGGCUGCUUAUGGCUGCUUUUUCUCAUAGAUGCACACCCGUGAAGGGGUUUUUGGUUUUAGUUUUUACUUUGGUUUAAAAUCCGGCUGCUCAUCUUUGGCAAUUUUUCAGUGAUGUGCAGAGCCGCCUUGGCCAAGGAAGACAUCGACGCAUUUAGCGAUGCAUAUGAAUGGGAGUGUCUCGAGGAUGGAGACGAUAAGCCAUAUGUAUGCAAGCUCGAGAACGUCCUUGCUCACCCCCUGGAUGGAGUUUGCGAUCAGUAGUUUUUCAAUAAGGCAGCUCUGAAUCAGCAUAGGAUCAGAAUUCACAACCGUGAAAUC
rnacentral:lncRNA from 1 species